ensembl:misc_RNA 7SK 7SK RNA
UGAAGGUGAUCUGGCUUCAUCCUUGCCACCCACUGAUCACCAGAGUUGAUUCAGCUAAUGUCUGGCUAUACAGGUGUCCCCUUCCUCCAGUGUUCCAUAUGUAACCCUCCUCAAGUUGAAAACUUGGUUGAAGAGGAUGACCUUCCUUGAUAGAAGAGGACCAUUCUUUAAUCAAGGGUGUUUAAGUAGCUCUUUAAACUUUCAAGGUAAAGGUCUCACCUGCACUGUCAGUCUUAUAGUCAAUCAUAAUGUAUCAACACAUAAAGAAACUAAUAGCUAU